CCCGAAUUAAAUCACCAAGAGAUGUCCCACUACCGCCUCCACAUAGGAUUGGUUAACAUCAACAAUAUAACCAGAUGAAUUCAUUUUGUGCAACCAGCAAGAAUUGUAAAUAAUGAAAUUUUUUCGAAAAAGAGCUAAACUUUCAAAAAAGGACCAAAAAUUCUAGAUUUGUGUUACAAAAUUCUGUAAUCCAUCAAAAUUCCUAUAAAGUUUUUAUAGAUGAUUUCGUAAGCAAACAAA